rnacentral:lncRNA from 1 species
CCCUGUAAUAAUGUUGCUCUACCAGCCCAAUACACGAGAGGGGGACUAUAUAAGAAUCAAUGGAGCUGUCACUACCAUGAACUACCCCGCGAUCUAGCAUAUAGGGUACAAUCGCAGAUAAACACGGUAUAAUCACCAUGCCUACACAAUAUCUAUCAUUACCCAAGGAUCCGAUGGAUAAACGCUAUACGAUCCUGAACAUGUAUAUAAUUCCUAUCUAACUAAGCCAAGUAUAUAACUAUGAUAAACUAAGAACAAUAUAAUUACGAAUAUAAACAAGUAGAGCAAAGUCAUAAUCAAUAUAUUAAAGUAGAACAAAGUCAUAUUCAUAAUAUCGAAGAACAAAGAUGAACAAUUGAAGAACAAUAGAGAAUUACCAAGAAUCCUCUUGACAGAUCCGGAAACCAAUCGAAAAUUGACUCCUUCUAGUUCUAAUCCUAUGUAGCUAUGCUAAUCUAGAGAUAUAAUUGAUGUGGUGGCUCUAGAGCUUGAUCAGAGGCUUCUUCUCCCUGAUGAAUAAUGAAUUAGGGUUGAGAGGUGCUCUCCUCCAGGGGCCAGGGAGUCUGGUUAUAUAGUCCUUCCAAGUGAAUGUGGGCCGUCGGAUCAAACCGACAUUGAUUGAACGGUUAUCCUUGAUCCUUUAGGUCGGUGGAGCAUGAUCCGCGAAGUUGAACUUGAUUGGCUCCGAGGCCAGGGCAGGCGCCCAAGGGGGGAGGGCGGGCGCCCUGCUCCUGGGCCCGAUCGGCCUCCCGCGGCACGUUAAUAUCUCUAUGUAAACCUGACAUGUGGGUCUUUCUUCCGUAUUUCCUGAUAACCCCCUGCAAAAAUAGACAAACACCAAAACUCGUGGAAUUCUAUCAGAUAAAACCCUAAGUCUGGAUGUCGGUUGCAUUUGGAUCCUUUUCUUUGUUUAUUUGUUGAUUAUAUUUGAUACUUAAGGACCGUCAACAAACUCCCCCAAGCUUACCUCUUGCUCGUCCCUGAGCAAGGAUAAUCUCAGUGAUGGAUCAGAAGUUGCUGCAAUACCUUUAAAAAUUGACGGUACACAUGCUUUUAAAUAAGGUCUCAUCUCAGAGUUAGAGUAAACUGUCAAGAUUUAAAACUUACUCAUUUUACCUUUCACCAUGGGACUUGUAACCGUCACUUCUGUCUUGAGUAGUUAAAAGAUAGAACAGUCUAGUCAAGUGUCAUGUCUCUUAUUCUUGAUCAGCUAUAGCUCUGGAGUUUUUGUAGAUUUUCAAAUAAAACUCAGAGAUUCCUUGUAUGACUCUCUUAGAUUUCUCUUUUGUGGUAUUUCUGGAUCCUUACCAAGGCGGUAAUGGUAUAUGUCUUCUCUCAAGAUAUGUAGUAUUUGUGGUAUAAGGCAUAGUGACAUUGCCUUCUCUCUCUUACCCUACCCUAAUAAGGCUUUACUAUCUGGAGCUCAUAGGUGGGAGAUAAAGUAUACAUACUCACAAGACAUUUAUUGCAUAGUCAAACCAUGGAUCCAAAGAAACAAGCCAAUAAGUCAAAUCAAGAUGUGCAUGUGUGGCGAAUGAAUGGCGUAUGGUGAUGAUGGUGAUAACAAUGGUGAAAGUCUAAUUCUACUUUUGCUCUUUGAGGGGAUACAUACCUUCCUUGCUCUUUGAAACUUUGUGAGGAGAAUGAGAUGCUCUACUUUUUUUCUUUUUCUUUCCUCUCAGGUGGGUAUCUUGUACCCCUAAUUCUACUGUCGGACACUUGUCCAUUUUUACCUCUCGUCUCACUUUUUCUUUUCUUUCGAGGUUCCGGGCACUUGCCCCUUUUUAUUUCCUCGUAUCUUUCUCCUUUUUUCUUCCUUUUUUUAGAGCACUCAUCUCCUGAAAUAAUAUAGCAAGUGGUAGUAACCAAGAUAACUUGAGCAUUUAUUUAACAGGGGAAAACAGGAAUGGGAUAAUGUUUUUGGCUAUUCUCUCCCGGAUUAGGAGUAGAAUACUUUUUGGUGGUUCUGGAGAUAGAAAUGAGUGGAUAUAUGUGGAUGCGUACUCCCGGAGUAGAAGCUGCAUGUGUGAGUGAACGUGCAAGUGAAUCUUGAUUUAACCACAUGACAAGCUCCUAAGGGUCUACACAGCUUGACCACACUCAAUGCUCAUAAGCAGUAAAAAGUAAAUAUGUGGCUCAAAGUCUAGCAAGCAUGUAUAUAUGGAUGUGGUAGGAAUUUAAACUCUCAUCAUACAGGAACUCAUCAUGUAAUAUUUUAAAGAUUUUCAAAGAUAAAAUUCUCCAGAAGUCUAGCAUCUCUAGAAACAGAUAAACAACAGCUCAACAUUCCCAUAUCAUAUCCGUUAACAACCUAGACUUCAGAUCAAGUUUUCUUCCCACAAGUUCAGAUUUAGAGCAAGCUUUAAAUUAUAACAGUUAUGUCUAAACUAGAGAGAGAACUCAAAUUUGAAAAUUAGGCAGAGCAACUAUUCAUCAUAUUCAUUCUAGAGUUUUAUUAUUAAGAUUCAGUUUAGCAUAGCCACUUUAUUUAUUUAUUAAACAAACUAAGCAAAAGAUGUAUAUAUGUAUAUAAGCACAAAAUCUUUAUUUGGUUUUUCAUAGUUAUGUAUAUUUAUAUUUUAAUAUAGUAUAAGUAUAAAGAUAGAUAGAAAUACUUAGCGGGAUAA